ensembl:lncRNA
GCCAGGUACUUGGUGGAGCCAGUUUGCAUGGAUUAUCGCGCUCACUAGCCAGUACACGUAACAGGUAGAGCCGUAAAAUCAUAUGGAAUCAAAUCAAAUAUACUUUGGAUACAUUUCUAACGGUGUAGACUAAAAAGAAAUACCACUACAGCCAGAACGUUGGUGGAGCGCUGCAGAGAUGUCUCUCUCCAACAGCACUCUGGAGAAGCGCACUGGGAAUGGACAAGCAAAAUAUUUUGUGCCCCUGCCUUAGACAAAGUGGGCACUACUAUUCAAAGUGCGGCAUCAGCGCUCACCGAAAAAGC